rnacentral:rRNA from 1 species
GUCUCAGGCCGGAUCAGCCUGAAGGCGCCCGAUCUCGUCUGAUCUUGGAAGCUAAGCAGGGUCGGGCCUGGUUAGUAUCUUGGAUGGGAGACCACCUGGGAAUCCCGGGUGCUCGAGGCU